AGUGAACGCUGGCGGUAGGCCUACACAUGCAAGUCGAACGGCAGCACAGUAAGAGCUUGCUCUUACGGGUGGCGAGUGGCGGACGGGUGAGGAAUACAUCGGAAUCUACUUUUUCGUGGGGGAUAACGUAGGGAAACUUACGCUAAUACCGCAUACGACCUACGGGUGAAAGCAGGGGAUCUUCGGACCUUGCGCGAUUGAAUGAGCCGAUGUCGGAUUAGCUAGUUGGCGGGGUAAAGGCCCACCAAGGCGACGAUCCGUAGCUGGUCUGAGAGGAUGAUCAGCCACACUGGAACUGAGACACGGUCCAGACUCCUACGGGAGGCAGCAGUGGGGAAUAUUGGACAAUGGGCGCAAGCCUGAUCCAGCCAUACCGCGUGGGUGAAGAAGGCCUUCGGGUUGUAAAGCCCUUUUGUUGGGAAAGAAAAGCAGCAGGUUAAUACCCCGCUGUUCUGACGGUACCCAAAGAAUAAGCACCGGCUAACUUCGU
rnacentral:rRNA from 1 species